rnacentral:rRNA from 1 species
UACGUAGGUGGCAAGCGUUGUCCGGAUUUAUUGGGUUUAAAGGGUGCGUAGGUGGGUCUGUAAGUCAGUGGUGAAAUCUCCGAGCUUAACUCGGAAACUGCCAUUGAUACUAUAGGUCUUGAAUUAUCUGGAGGUAAGCGGAAUAUGUCAUGUAGCGGUGAAAUGCUUAGAUAUGACAUAGAACACCAAUUGCGAAGGCAGCUUACUACGGAUUUAUUGACACUGAGGCACGAAAGCGUGGGGAUCAAACAGG